GAAAGAUGAUAUCAAAACCCUACUGUGCGGUGAUAUAGGAGAAGCAGAUACACAUGUGCCCGUAUGUGGAAAUGUCUAAAGAUGCCAGGAGCAGGGCCAGGGGAGGCACAGCCCCUCGAGCGCACGUCUUCACAGUGCACAAGGAUCUGGGUUCAAGCCCCCGGCCCGCUGCAAGGAGAAGCUUCACAAUGGGGAAGCAGGGCUUCAGGUGUCCUCUUCCUUUUUCUCCACUUCCCUCUCCCUCUCAGUUUCUCUCUGUCUCUGUCAGAUCAAAAUAGUCACAGCAAAUAUAUCCAGAGUAAAGGAAGAUACAGAUCGUGUGACACAGCAAGGUCAGUGGUGUUUUUUCAAGAGUCACGUGUCCACUCUGAACACCUCGCUUUCACCUUGUUGUGGGUUGGGUUCAGGGUCGCCAUCAGAAAUGCAGACUGGAGUGAGCAUCCGUGCCUGUGUGUGGGCCAAGUGCUGGUGUGUGCUUGGUUAAAUACCCAAACUCAGAAAGUUCAUGCACGUUUCCAUUUUGUGACAAUAUAGGAACUCAGAUUCCAGUCUCUGCCUUUGCAGUGAUGAGACUAAUAAUGGAAGUUUUGCUCUGUUUUUUCCCCAGAGUCUGUGCCGCCGCCGCCUCCUCCUCCUCCUCCUCCUCCUCCUCCACCUCCACCUCCUCCUCCUCCUCCAGCAGCAACUCCAGUCCCAAGGCUCCCAGACUACCUCACAACCAUUAAGAAGCUUGCAGCACCGGUGAAUCCUGAAACCAUAGGCACAGGACUGGUCGUGCUGAUCAUUCUCAUUGGGGUUGCUGGCCUUCUACUGGUUGCCCUCUGCCUGGACAGCAUUCUUCGUGGCAGAAAGAUGGACAAAGGGGAGCGGGCAGCAUCUCCUCCCUCGGGGCCCCCGCCUCCUGACUGACCUCCUUCCUUGCCAUGCCAUGCGUCCAGCGUGCCAUCCAGGGGACUUGAACUUUACAUUAUUUACUAAAAAUGUCUCGGUCUCUACAGUU